AGUGGCGCUGCUUACCAUGCAAGUUGAACGGAGUAUGUUGGAAGGGUAACCGGAAGGCAUAUUUAGUGGCGAACGGGUGAGUAAUGCAUGAGAACGUAUCCUCAAGAGGGGGACAACAUUGGGAAACCGAUGCUAAUACCCCAUAAGCCGGGAGGUAAAAGGAGCAAUCCGCUUGAGGAGCGGUUCAUGUCCUAUCAGCUAGUUGGUGAGGUAACGGCUCACCAAGGCGAAGACGGGUAGCCGGCCUGAGAGGGUGAACGGCCACACUGGAACUGAGAGACGGUCCAGACUCCUACGGGAGGCAGCAGUGGGGAAUAUUGGGCAAUGGGGGAAACCCUGACCCAGCGACGCCGCGUGAGGGAAGAAGGCCUUAGGGUCGUAAACCUCUGUUGUGUGGGAAGAAGAGCGUGACGGUACCACACGAGGAAGUCCCGGCUAACUACGUGCCAGCAGCCGCGGUAAUACGUAGGGGACGAGCGUUGUCCGGAUUUACUGGGCGUAAAGGGCGCGUAGGCGGUCAUUUAAGUCAGCUGUGAAAUGGUGCGGCUUAACCGCAUCAUGCGGUUGAAACUGGAUGACUGGAGUGCUGGAGAGGCAAGUGGAAUUCCCAGUGUAGCGGUGAAAUGCGUAGAUAUUGGGAAGAACACCGGUGGCGAAGGCGACUUGCUGGCCAGCAACUGACGCUGAGGCGCGAAAGCCAGGGGAGCAAACGGGAUUAGAUACCCCGGUAGUCCUGGCCGUAAACGAUGAAUGCUAGGUGUGGGCAUCGAGAGGUGUCCGUGCCGGAGCUAACGCGAUAAGCAUUCCGCCUGGGGGAGUA
rnacentral:rRNA from 1 species